rnacentral:pre_miRNA from 1 species
CUUAUAGUAUAGGUAUGUCCCAUGCUCUAUUUGGGGCAUACUUAUACUAAAA